rnacentral:rRNA from 1 species
AACGAACGCUGGCGGCGUGCCUAACACAUGCAAGUCGAACGGGGUGAGGGGCUUGCUCCUCAUCUAGUGGCGCACGGGUGAGUAACGCGUGGAUAAUCUGCCUGAUACUCUGGGAUAACAUUUCGAAAGGGGUGCUAAUACCGGAUAAGCCCACGGGAACUUUGGUUCUUGCGGGAAAAGGAGGGGACCUUCGGGCCUUCCGAUAUCAGAUGAGUCCGCGUCCCAUUAGCUAGUUGGUAGGGUAAAGGCCUACCAAGGCGACGAUGGGUAGCUGGUCUGAGAGGAUGAUCAGCCACACUGGAACUGAGACACGGUCCAGACUCCUACGGGAGGCAGCAGUGGGGAAUUUUGCGCAAUGGGGGAAACCCUGACGCAGCAACGCCGCGUGAGUGAUGAAGGCCCUUGGGUCGUAAAGCUCUGUCAGAGGGAAAGAAAUGUGUGCGGCUAAUAUCCGUUGCACUUGACGGUACCCUCAAAGGAAGCACCGGCUAACUCCGUGCCAGCAGCCGCAGUAAUAC